rnacentral:sRNA from 1 species
AAUAUAAAACAAAUGCAUAAUGACAGAGAUGAGAUUUUGUUAGGUACCUCAUCUUCCUUCAUGUUUAGAAGAAUCUCUUGAUAGUGUCCCACACUCCCUUUGGCACAAUUUUUGGUAUACGGUUUAUAUACCUUUGCCCACUCAACCAUUAAAGAAAAACUGGAUGGAGAUGGUUGUUAAAAGACAGUAAAUUGCUCUAAUGCAAAUACCUACACGGAAAACUAAAGAAUAGUUAACAUUAUACGCAUAAUCAACA